GUGAUUGGCUGUUGAGUCGACUUGGUGGGUGAGGCUCGACGGAACGUUAUUUUGACCCCAGUAUUGGCAUAGUUGUGGUGUACAAGUUAGUGUUAGGGCGUGAUGUUACUCUGAGCUGGUACCCCGUUACCCUUUGGGGUCGCUAGGGCUGACAGAUCCCCUAGCUUACACUCAUAUUGUACACCCGCAAAACGCCAAUACAUAGGGGCUAUUAAGUGAAUGAGGUAAUGGUGGGAAGAAGAGGCAUCGCUUGAAAGGAGCCUACUGGUGAUGUAGGAAUGUGCAGGAGACUAACGUUGUGAUGGGACUAGUGGUGGACCGAUGAAUGAAGUCUUAGACGAUGCCGAGCAGAAGGUGGUUGCAGAUGUCGAGGUUUGGCUUGAUGUGCUAGUUGAAACCGACUACGGAAGGCGCACAAGGUACACCAUUGAUGAACAAGGAAAAGGGAUGGAGGGUGAGGGCAGACUACUGCGGCCAUGAGGUCGACACAUUCCUAGUUACAGCGGGCGGGCGCCGCGUUCGCCCUUUGGGGGUUCAGCGCCGCUGGCCGUCGCGGCAUUGGGGGUUCGGGCGGAGGACCCCCAAAGUGAUAAGCCUGGUGAUAGCUAAGAAAUAUUUCCAUGAAUUGUAAUUAGUGUAAUUAAAAUAAUGCAACUUUCAUGUACUAUCUAUAGAUGUAUUUAUUAAUUUAAAUUGAUUUGUACUUCAUGAUAAUUAUAAAGAAUAAUCAAUAUAAUUAUUCCUUAAUAGUUUAUUGUUAUGCACUAGUCAAUAAUUAAUCAUCGUAAUGAGGAAAUAUUUGUAAUGAAUCAAAUAAUUUGUUUUAUUAUAUAAUGAUUAGCUGUGUAUAAUAUAUACGAAAAUAAUAUAUUAUUGAGCAUUAUAAAAUAAAUAAGUCCCCAAUGUGAGGACGUUUUGCUUCAACCUCAGAAAAUGAAGUAUCUAGUAGUGUUAGGGUUCAACGUUCUGUAGUGACAAAUGUUGAAACAGGUUAAAGUCAAACGGUAUAGAGAAAUAGCAUAGAUCUGAAUAAUACCUUUGAUGUAUGUAACAUUUCUCCUCACUUGCACAGGAGUUGGUGUGUUGGGAGAGUGUCUCUGAGAAAAUCACGUAUCUCACGGAAUGUGACGGACAGGGUAAAGAUAGUUUUAUUAUGGAUCGUGGAAGAAAGUAGUGAGGAUAUUAUCUUUGAGGGUUAAUGUGUUAAAAUUUAGUGCGGUGGAUGCAGACUAUUAUAGUCUUAGAUAGUAUAUUACCCUGAAAUGUUAAAUUGGAUUGUUGUAUUUGUAAUGAGUGAAUUUGUGCGGCGGGAAUGGGUAUAAAUACCCUAAGGUACUCUUGAGUUUGUGUUAAUAUUAUUUUGCUAACUUGUCUCAAAUAACAUGAAGUUUAAUACAUAAAUAAGUUGACACUGGAAAGAACUCGAAGUUUGUAUAGUUAUUAAUAAGUAGUGUACCACUGAAAAACAUUUUUAUGUGUGAUAUCAUUAUGAUAGACAGUAUACCCCGGAGCUACAACAAUUUUGCCCCAAGAGUCUAACAUUUAUAUGCUGUGCUUACUAUAUUAAACCUGAUUCUUGUAUUGUGUAUUUGUAGACACUGAAUUUGUGCGGCCCCUUGAGGUUCUGCAAGUAGAGGGGAGUAGAAAUACCGUAAACUACUGUAUCCCUUUGAGAUGUAUUUAUUAU